rnacentral:rRNA from 1 species
ACCUGCCCACUGAAAAAUUUUAAAUGGCCGCAGUAAUUUGACUGUGCAAAGGUAGCAUAAUCAUUAGUUUUUUAAUUAAAAGCUUGUAUGAAGGGUUGGACGAGAUAAAAUCUGUCUUUAUUUAAAUAAUAUUAGAAUUUAAUUUUUAAGUUAAAAAGCUUAAAUUUAUAUAAAAGACGAGAAGACCCUAUAGAUCUUUAUAUUAUUAAAGAUAAUUUUAAUUAAGAUUAUUUAAUUUUUUAUUUUUUAUAAUAUUUUAUUGGGGUAAUAAAAAAAUUUAAUUAAUUUUUUUUUAUAUAUUACAUUAAUUAAUGAAUUUAUGAUCCAUAAUUUAUGAUUAUAAGAUUAAGUUACCUUAGGGAUAACAGCGUAAUUUUUUUAGAGAGUUCAUAUCGAUAAAAAAGUUUGCGACCUCGAUGUUGGAUUAAAAAUUAUUUUAGGCGCAGAAGUUUAAAAAUUUGGUCUGUUCGACCAUUAAAUUUUU